AUUAUGCUCAAUCGAAAGAGCUUGAAAAAAUAUCACUUUUGAAUCGAGAACAUGUAUCCGCAAAAUUCGUAUUGUCGAGUAUUUUGCAUUUAAAAGUGAAAAAAUUUCGACAAAGAAUGCAAAUGUUCAAUUUGUUGUUUGACAUUUGACAGCUCUAUGGUUUCGUUCAGAAAUUGUAAAUAUUUUUACGUCCGUCAUGCAUGUUGGACAGAUUGCUGGUGAGAGUGUGGGUAAGCCUAUUUAAAAAAAACGACUACUGUCAGUGUAAGAUGACACUGGUGACAGAUGACACACAAACAUGUUACAUGUAUUGUGCAUUGAUUGACGGGUAAAACCAUGGUAAAACCAAAACUUUGUGCUUUACCAGUCUGAAAUUAAGUUUAAUUUUCAGUAAAGGGUCUAAAUGUUUGUGACUAACCUAAGCCCUCCUACGUGUACACGCUCGACGCAGCUAGCCAACUUUAUUGUCACGCGUGCAAUAGAGUACCUAUUAAAGGCCAAGUUCGGCCUGGCCAGCCAGGGUUCACGCUAGACAACGUCAACGAUUUAUUUGGGGUCGCCGUCAUCGAAAACGAUGAGGAGGAGGAGGACUAUACUUACUAACGAUGACACGGCACCGCCGCGUAAAACAAACCUAUGCCGAAAAUCAUAGUUUCAAGUAUUUUGAAUGCUGUAGCCAGAAGACUGCCAGACAAAUGUGGAUUAAUAAGGUUGUGGAGAUAAAAAAAGAUACAUCCACACUACAGCAUCCGAAAUCUCAAAAUCAUUUGCUUCUAUAUCGAAUAGCUCUCUGGAUUUUUUUGAUGACUUUCCGGUCACUUAUCUUGACAUAAAUGCUGAAGGAAUGAAU